AUAUUUACCUGGCAGAGGAGACAUCACACUCAUGAAGGUGGUUUUCCCAGGAUGAGGCACAUCCAUUGCACUCCAGGUGUGCUGACUCCUGCAAUUUUGCCAAAUGUGGGAAACUUGACUACAAUAUUUGUGGUAGUGGGAGUCUGUACGUCCCAU